CUACGGGGUGCUGCAGGCGAGAAAACUUUGCAAUGUGCGAAAGCACGACAAGGUUAAUCCGAGUGGUUUCUGCUAAAGGAACCUUUUGUCGGUCCUAGAAACACCGAUGAAUAAGGGGUGGGCAAGUUCUGGUGUCAGCCGCCGCGGUAAAACCAGCACCUCAAGUUGUCAGGAUGAUUAUUGGGCCUAAAGCAUCCGUAGCCGGCUCUGUAAGUUUUCGGUUAAAUCUGUACGCUUAACGUACAGGCUGCCGGGAAUACUGCAUAGCUAGGGAGUGGGAGAGGUAGACGGUACUCGGUAGGAAGGGGUAAAAUCCUUUGAUCUAUUGAUGACCACCUGUGGCGAAGGCGGUCUACCAGAACACGUCCGACGGUGAGGGAUGAAAGCUGGGGGAGCAAACCGGAUUAGAUACCCGAGUAGUC
rnacentral:rRNA from 1 species